UACGGAGGGUGCGAGCGUUGUCCGGAAUCACUGGGCGUAAAGGGCGCGUAGGCGGCCCGUCAAGCGUGUGGUGAAAGCCCGGGGCUCAACCCCGGGUCGGCCGUGCGGACUGGCGGGCUCGAGCACUGUAGGGGCGGGUGGAAUUCCGGGUGUAGCGGUGGAAUGCGUAGAGAUCCGGAAGAACACCGGUGGCGAAGGCGGCCCGCUGGGCAGGAAGGCCCCUCACGGGGGCCGGCUGACGCUGAGGCGCGACAGCGUGGGGAGCAAACAGG
rnacentral:rRNA from 1 species